rnacentral:rRNA from 1 species
CUUUAUUGUAGCCUGGUAUUGGGUUCGGGCUUUGACUGCGCAGGAUAGGUGGGAGACUGAGAAGUGUGCCUUGUGGGGCACAUAGAGUCAACGGUGAGAUACCACUCUGUCAGAGCUAGAAUUCUAACCUUCACCCGUGAUCCGGGGAAGGAACCGUAUCAGGUGGGCAGUUUGACUGGGGCGGUCGCCUCCUAAAAGGUAACGGAGGCGCGCAAAGGUGUUCUCAGGCUGGUUGGAAAUCAGCCGUAGAGUGUAAAGGCUGAAGAACGCUUGACUGUGAGAGUGACAACUCAAGCAGGGUGGAAACACGGCCUUAGUGAUCCGACGGUACUGUGUGGAAAGGCCGUCGCUCAACGGAUAAAAGUUA